UACGUAGGGUGCGAGCGUUAAUCGGAAUUACUGGGCGUAAAGGGUGCGCAGGCGGCGUCGCAAGUCAGGCGUGAAAUCCCCGGGCUUAACCUGGGAACUUGCACUUGAAACUACGAUGCUGGAGUAUGGCAGAGGGAGUGGAAUUCCACGUGUAGCGGUGAAAUGCGUAGAGGAUGAUGGAGGAACACGAUGGCGAAGGCAGCCUCCGUGGGCCAAUA
rnacentral:rRNA from 1 species